AGAGUUUGAUCCUGGCUCAGAACGAACGCUGGCGGCAGGCCUAACACAUGCAAGUCGAGCGCGCUUUCGGGUGAGCGGCGGACGGGUUAGUAACGCGUGGGAACGUGCCCUUUCUCUACGGAAUAGCCUCUGGAAACGGAGAGUAAUACCGUAUACACCCUUUGGGGGAAAGAUUUAUCGGAGAAGGAUCGGCCCGCGUUAGAUUAGGUAGUUGGUGGGGUAACGGCCUACCAAGCCUACGAUCUAUAGCUGGUUUUAGAGGAUGAUCAGCAACACUGGGACUGAGACACGGCCCAGACUCCUACGGGAGGCAGCGGUGGGGAAUCUUAGACAAUGGGGGCAACCCUGAUCUAGCCAUGCCGCGUGAGUGAUGAAGGCCUUAGGGUCGUAAAGCUCUUUCGCCUGUGAUGAUAAUGACAGUAGCAGGUAAAGAAACCCCGGCUAACUCCGUGCCAGCAGCCGCGGUAAUACGGAGGGGGUUAGCGUUGUUCGGAAUUACUGGGCGUAAAGCGCGCGUAGGCGGAUUAGAAAGUUGGGGGUGAAAUCCCGGGGCUCAACCCCGGAACUGCCUCCAAAACUGCUAGUCUAGAGUUCGAGAGAGGUGAGUGGAAUUCCGAGUGUAGAGGUGAAAUUCGUAGAUAUUCGGAGGAACACCAGUGGCGAAGGCGGCUCACUGGCUCGAUACUGACGCUGAGGUGCGAAAGUGUGGGGAGCAAACAGGAUUAGAUACCCUGGUAGUCCACACCGUAAACGAUGAAUGCCAGUCGUCGGAUAGUAUACUAUUCGGUGACACACCUAACGGAUUAAGCAUUCCGCCUGGGGAGUACGGUCGCAAGAUUAAAACUCAAAGGAAUUGACGG
rnacentral:rRNA from 1 species